AGAUUAAGUUAUUAAGGGCGCACGGUGGAUGCCUUGGCACUAGAAGCCGAUGAAGGACGUUACUAACGACGAUAUGCUUUGGGUAGCUGUAAGUAAGCGUUGAUCCAGAGAUUUCCGAAUGGGGGAACCCAGCAUGAGUUAUGUCAUGUUAUCGACAUGUGAAUUCAUAGCAUGUCAGAAGGCAGACCCGGAGAACUGAAACAUCUUAGUACCCGGAGGAAGAGAAAGAAAAAUCGAUUCCCUGAGUAGCGGCGAGCGAAACGGGAAGAGCCCAAACCAACAAGCUUGCUUGUUGGGGUUGUAGGACACUCUAUACGGAGUUACAAAAGAACAUGUUAGACGAAUCAUCUGGAAAGAUGAAUCAAAGAAGGUAAUAAUCCUGUAGUCGAAAACAUAUUCUCUCUUGAGUGGAUCCUGAGUACGACGGAGCACGUGAAAUUCCGUCGGAAUCUGGGAGGACCAUCUCCUAAGGCUAAAUACUCUCUAGUGACCGAUAGUGAACCAGUACCGUGAGGGAAAGGUGAAAAGUACCCCGGAAGGGGAGUGAAAGAGAACUUGAAACCGUGUGCUUACAAGUAGUCAGAGCCCGUUAAUGGGUGAUGGCGUGCCUUUUGUAGAAUGAACCGGCGAGUUACGAUCUGAUGCAAGGUUAAGCAGCAAAUGUGGAGCCGCAGCGAAAGCGAGUCUGAAUAGGGCGUUGAGUAUUUGGUCGUAGACCCGAAACCAGGUGAUCUACCCUUGGUCAGGUUGAAGUUCAGGUAACACUGAAUGGAGGACCGAACCGACUUACGUUGAAAAGUGAGCGGAUGAACUGAGGGUAGCGGAGAAAUUCCAAUCGAACUUGGAGAUAGCUGGUUCUCUCCGAAAUAGCUUUAGGGCUAGCCUCAAGUGAUGAUUAUUGGAGGUAGAGCACUGUUUGGACGAGGGGCCCCUCUCGGGUUACCGAAUUCAGACAAACUCCGAAUGCCAAUUAAUUUAACUUGGGAGUCAGAACAUGGGUGAUAAGGUCCGUGUUCG
rnacentral:rRNA from 1 species